AACGAACGCUGGCGGCAUGCCUAACACAUGCAAGUCGAACGAGGCCUUCGGGUCUAGUGGCGCACGGGUGCGUAACGCGUGGGAACCUGCCCUUAGGUUCGGAAUAACUCCCCGAAAGGGGUGCUAAUACCGGAUAAUGUCUUCGGACCAAAGAUUUAUCGCCUUUGGAUGGGCCCGCGUUGGAUUAGCUAGUUGGUAGGGUAAAAGCCUACCAAGGCGACGAUCCAUAGCUGGUCUGAGAGGAUGAUCAGCCACACUGGGACUGAGACACGGCCCAGACUCCUACGGGAGGCAGCAGUGGGGAAUAUUGGACAAUGGGCGAAAGCCUGAUCCAGCAAUGCCGCGUGAGUGAUGAAGGCCUUAGGGUUGUAAAGCUCUUUUACCCGGGAUGAUAAUGACAGUACCAGGAGAAUAAGCUCCGGCUAACUCCGUG
rnacentral:rRNA from 1 species